UGGGGAAUCUUGGACAAUGGGGGCAACCCUGAUCCAGCCAUGCCGCGUGAGUGAUGAAGGCCUUAGGGUCGUAAAGCUCUUUCGCCUGUGAAGAUAAUGACGGUAGCAGGUAAAGAAACCCCGGCUAACUCCGUGCCAGCAGCCGCGGUAAUACGGAGGGGGCUAGCGUUGUUCGGAAUUACUGGGCGUAAAGGGCGUGUAGGCGGCCAAUUAAGUCAGAGGUGAAAUCCCCGAGCUCAACUUGGGAACUGCCUUUGAUACUGGUUGGCUAGAGUUCGGGAGAGGGUAGUGGAAUUCCCAGUGUAGAGGUGAAAUUCGUAGAUAUUGGGAAGAACACCAGUGGCGAAGGCGGCUACCUGGACCGAUACUGACGCUGAGGCGCGAAAGCGUGGGGAGCAAACAGGAUUAGAUACCCUGGUAGUCCACGCCGUAAACGAUGUCUGCUAGUCGUUGGGGGGCGUAGCCCUUCAGUGACGCCGCUAACGCAUUAAGCAGACCGCCUGGGGGAGUACGGCCGCAAGGUUAAAACUCAAA
rnacentral:rRNA from 1 species